rnacentral:lncRNA from 1 species
UCCCUUCUUUGCUAGGACUUAGAGUUUCGACCGUCACCUUGCACAUCAAUCCAUUUCUGAUCCUAUUUCGCACUGAAAAUAAUGUCUAUCUUCGUCUUUGAUUAAAUGUCUAGAACAAAGAUGUAUGAAUCCGGCUGUUAUAACACAAGCUGGUAGAUCUUUCACUACAACCGAGAGCCACCGUCCUACCAUUGUGCACAAGCAGAGCCUUGAUAUUCUUCACGAUUCUUGGUUCAAUAAGGUAACCGUGUUACUUUAAUUUCAAUAUCCUGAACCUGACGAUCCCUGACCUUAACAGCAUGAACCUGACGAUCCCUGACCUUAACAGCCUGAACCCCUGAAUUUUGAAGUUCAACCCUGUAGCUCUGAGCCAUGAGUUCUAAAACUUUAAACUUUGAUUCUUAAAUUCUGAACUUGUAAAUUUUAAAUGAAAACUUAAAUAUGUAAGUUAAACCUUUAAAUUUCAAAUGAAAACCUAAAUAUGUAUGUAUGAAUAUGUAUUGUAUGAAUAUAAAAAUUUAAAUUUAAAGGUAAAGCGAUGGAUUGUUGUGUGAAUAUGUAUUGUAUUGUUUUAUAUAUAUAAUUUUAUUGUAUAAGCAUGUCAUAUUAGAGCUACAUUAGCUUAGAUAGUUACUUAUUGAGUCAAAGCACUCUUUCUUUUAACAUUUUCAACAUGUUGCUGGAAGAAUAUUUUCCUUGAUAGUUGAUCUUGGACCUUUGGGAAGG